rnacentral:lncRNA from 1 species
AAAAAGCGUCAGCAGCGGAAGAGAAUCCUAUGUCAAGUGUAAAGGUCACUUGUGAGUCUUUGCUGGGAACAACUGAACGAGAAAAUAAAUUACUGAGAGUAAAGCAGUCUGUAGGUUUUGGGAAGAUUCGUAGGUGUGUGAGAAACAAGAUAUUUUGGAAUCUUAAUGUAAUCUGAGAAGUCAAAUAGACCUGUAUUCCUGUCAUUCUCUUUCUCAUUUUCUUCCUCCCCACCAAAUCAUGAUGU